rnacentral:rRNA from 1 species
UACGAAGGGGGCUAGCGUUGCUCGGAAUCACUGGGCGUAAAGGGUGCGUAGGCGGGUCUUUUAAGUCAGGGGUGAAAUCCUGGAGCUCAACUCCAGAACUGCCUUUGAUACUGAGGAUCUUGAGUACGGGAGAGGUGAGUGGAACUGCGAGUGUAGAGGUGAAAUUCGUAGAUAUUCGCAAGAACACCAGUGGCGAAGGCGGCUCUCUGGGACGGUACUGACGCUGAGACGCGAAAGCGUGGGGAGCGAACAGG